rnacentral:lncRNA from 1 species
GAAGAGUGAGUGAGAGAGCAAAAGAAGAGAGGAGAAGAAAAGAUAAGGUUGCUGGAAAGUUUUCGUUUUCCAACAUGUCAGCCUGUUCAAGAGAGCAUUCCGGAGAAACACACCGUUGGAUCGUCCUGAAAUUUGGUGUGCUUGUUCAGGACGUUUUGGGCUUCAAUCUGGCCGGAGGGAUCGUUGUUACGAUCUCUGGUUUGUCGGGAAUCGCUGCUGGACAGAGGGUCAAUGAAUCUGUUUGGCCUCUGGAAUUUUUCUUUUCAUCUUGUCGAGUUGCUCUUGUUAUCCAUCGCAUUGGUGAGUAUCCAUUAUGGUGUAUUGGUGAUCCAAGAAGGUUGUUCUUGGGGUAAUUUGUAAUCCUCUAGCUAUCCUAGAGAAGAAUUGUAAUCCCACCAAAGUAUAAUGGAGUUGUUGCUUGGACUACGGGUCCCGGUGGGUUUUUUUCUUUUUGGUUUUUCCUAAAGUGGAGUUGUUGCUUGGACUACGGUCCCUUGGUUUUUCCCGAUUUGGGUUUUCCACGUAAAAAUCGUCGUGUCUCGUUCGUUCUAUUCUUACUUGAUAUUGCUGCUCCGUUUCUCAACAGUAUUAUAUGAGUAUUAUUAUUGAGUAUUAAAUGGAUUUUUGCUAAUAACUAAAAGCUAAAGCGUGAUAUUAUAUACCGUGUACAAUCUGUAUUUUAAUAUAGAUGAACUAAUAUGUUUUUGAUAAAAAAAUUUAUUUAUUAAUUCUCAAAAAUAACUACUAUUGUAUUAGUUAUCAGGGUUUUAUAUGAAAAACGAAUCGACGAAAGAGAGAUUUUCGACAACGAUAUUGCUAAACUCGUAGAUUUUCUGAAAAGUAGGAGAAUCUUGUAGCCACUAUUGAUGAUUAAAACGAUAGAGUUAUUUUAUCAAAGAUUACUAAUAGUCCUAGGAUUUGUAGUGAUUAUCUAUCUCUAUCUGCAUGUUUUCUGAGUGAAUAUUAGCUUGUUCUUGCUUCAUUCCUGUGUGGUUUCUUGUUUUGACAUUAUGUGUCUAGACCCGUUCACUUAUACCAUUUUGGUCCAUUUGAUAUAUUUUUUUGUAGUAUUUGUUAUCCACAUGUACUUUAGAGAUAGGUGGUCUACCUAUGAGGCUAUGGACGCGGAAUAGAGCAGGAUUGAAACUCGAACGGAAGAAUAGAACAAGGAAUGGUGAAGAAGAAGGGAUGCACGCCGAGCAGGCCCAAUUAGAAAAUGGUCUCAUAUAAAAAAUGGAAGAACGGCAUGCAUGGGUGCACGUCGUUCCUCGUUAUUUGCAACAAAAGUUUUUAAGGCAAAGGGGUGCACGACGUGCACCUCUCGGAUUCAGCAGCUUCCAUAUAAAAGACUGAUUUCGAGGAAAGAGAAAUCAGAUCUUCCCCAUCAAUAAUCUCUUGAUUUUUCUUCGACUUUCCUCUGCAAAAACACCAAUAGCUCGAUUCUACAUUUCGUGUUUCUUUUGGUUUUAAAGGUUGUUCAUCGAGUAAUUGGCGGGUGUUCUGAUUUGUACAUAAUGGACCAAGUUGGAUGUAGUUAUCAGUAGUUUAGGUGUUGAUGGACCAAGUUAACACUAAUUCCAAUUCUUAGUAAUUUCCUUUAAUUCAAAGAAAGCACCUUAUCACUU